GUUUGUGGACAUACCACCCUGAGCAUGCCGGAUCUCAUCUGAUCUGGGAAGCUAAGCAGGGUUGAGCCUGGUUAGAACUUAGAUGGGAGACCGCCUGAGAAUACUGGGUGCUGUAAGCU
rnacentral:rRNA from 1 species